UCUUGGAUGCUGCGCGUGAGGGAUAGUAGUGGAAAGCCCACAGCCCGACGAAGGAGGUGCGAGGACUUGUAACGGAUAGCCCGACCCGAG
rnacentral:misc_RNA from 1 species